rnacentral:rRNA from 1 species
CAGCCGCCGCGGUAAAACCAGCAGCCCAAGUGGUGGUCGCGAUUAUUGGGCCUAAAGCGCUCGUAGCCGGGCCGGUAAGUCCCUUGUGAAAUCGGACGGCCUAACCGUUCGGCGUGCAAGGGAUACUGUCGGUCUUGAGGCCGGGAGACGUCCGAGGUACUCCGGGGGUAGCGGUGAAAUGUUCUGAUCCUCGGGGGACCACCGGUGGCGAAGGCGUUCGACGAGAACGGGCCUGACGGUGAGGGGCGAAGGCUAGGGGAGCAAACGGGAUUAGAUACCCGUGUAGUCCCUGUCUCUUAUA